UACGUAGGGUGCAAGCGUUGUCCGGAAUUAUUGGGCGUAAAGAGCUCGUAGGCGGUCCGUCACGUCGGCUGUGAAAACCCGGGGCUCAACUCCGGGCCUGCAGUCGAUACGGGCGGACUAGAGUACUGCAGGGGAGACUGGAAUUCCUGGUGUAGCGGUGAAAUGCGCAGAUAUCAGGAGGAACACCGGUGGCGAAGGCGGGUCUCUGGGCAGUAACUGACGCUGAGGAGCGAAAGCUAGGGGAGCAAACAGG
rnacentral:rRNA from 1 species